rnacentral:rRNA from 1 species
UACAGGGGGUGCAAACGUUGCUCGGAAUCAUUGGGCGUAAAGCGCACGUAGGCGGUUCGUUAUGUCGGAUGUGAAAGCCCUUGGCUUAACCGAGGAAGUGCAUCCGAAACUGGCGAGCUAGAGUACGAAAGAGGAUCGCGGAAUUCCCGGUGUAGAGGUGAGAUUCGUAGAUAUCGGGAGGAACACCGGUGGCGAAGGCGGCGAUCUGGGUCGAUACUGACGCUGAGGUGCGAAAGCGUGGGGAGCA